ensembl:snoRNA small nucleolar RNA SNORD46
GGUGUGAAUGAUGCAAAAGAUUACCUUAGGCGGGUCUUUUGGUCGUUUUGGCCAAUGGUUCAGACCCGCCCAUGUUAGGGUAUGUCAUAGUUACACUGACACACU